UACGUAGGGGGCAAGCGUUGUCCGGAUUUAUUGGGCGUAAAGAGCGUGUAGGCGGCCAGGUAGGUCCGUUGUGAAAACUGGAGGCUUAACCUCCAGCUGUCGAUGGAAACCAUCUGGCUAGAGUCCGGAAGAGGAGAGUGGAAUUCCUGGUGUAGCGGUGAAAUGCGCAGAUAUCAGGAAGGACACCCGUGGCGAAGGCGGCUCUCUGGGACGGUACUGACGCUGAGACGCGAAAGCGUGGGGAGCGAACAGG
rnacentral:rRNA from 1 species